rnacentral:rRNA from 1 species
GACGAACGCUGGCGGCGUGCUUAACACAUGCAAGUCGAACGGUAAGGCCCUUCGGGGUACACGAGUGGCGAACGGGUGAGUAACACGUGGGUGAUCUGCCCUGCACUUCGGGAUAAGCCUGGGAAACUGGGUCUAAUCCCGGAUAGGACUCCGGACUGCAUGGUCUGGGGUGGAAAGCUUUUGCGGUGUGGGAUGGGCCCGCGGCCUAUCAGCUUGUUGGUGGGGUGAUGGCCUAACAAGGCGACGACGGGUAGCCGGCCUGAGAGGGUGACCGGCCACACUGGGACUGAGAUACGGCCCAGACUCCUACGGGAGGCAGCAGUGGGGAAUAUUGCACAAUGGGCGCAAGCCUGAUGCAGCGACGCCGCGUGAGGGAUGACGGCCUUCGGGUUGUAAACCUCUUUCAGCACAGACGAAGCGCAAGUGACGGUAUGUGCAGAAGAAGGACCGGCCAACUACGUGCCAGCAGCCGCCGCGG